rnacentral:miRNA from 1 species
GACUUUUCUGUCUUCAUUUUUUAGGUGAGGAAUCUGAGGCACAGUGGGAUUCAGUACCCUCCCCAAGGGCACACCGCUGGUAAGAAGCAGAGCAGGGUCUUGAACCUCCGUCUGU